CAGCAGCCGCGGUAAUACAGAGGGUGCGAGCGUUAAUCGGAAUUACUGGGCGUAAAGCGUGCGCAGGCGGUUAUAUAAGACAGAUGUGAAAUCCCCGGGCUCAACCUGGGAACUGCAUUUGUGACUGUAUAGCUAGAGUACGGCAGAGGGGGAUGGAAUUCCGCGUGUAGCAGUGAAAUGCGUAGAUAUGCGGAGGAACACCGAUGGCGAAGGCAAUCCCCUGGGCCUGUACUGACGCUCAUGCACGAAAGCGUGGGGAGCAAACAGGAUUAGAUACCCCUGUAGUCCCUGUCUCUUAUAC
rnacentral:rRNA from 1 species